GUGUCUGUCGCCACAGAAGAUGGUAAUUGUGGCUAUUAAUUAAAUUCUAUUUUCCUUUGUAGUUGUUAAUCUUAUUUUCAGUUCUGUAUCUCUUUUUUCAGUGGACUUGAAUAGCUAGCUUUUCAGUUGAAAAUUUAAAAAUGAAAGAUGACGUAUUUUAUUCAUAGUUGGGAAAAGCAGAAGGUAAGAAGAUUUUUGAUGGACCAACUGGAAAUAGCUCCACCAGUAUAUUGGUGCUUCCUGUGUGAUUAUUCAUUAUCAGAAGUUGGGAAUCUGAGGUAGAUGAGUUUGGGUGGGUUAUUAUAGCUUGUGUUAUGUGAGUCAUGAAAUGUAAGGGUGAGCAUUAAACGGUUAAAAUCGAAAAACGGAACCGAACCGAUUUAGUUUAGUAUUUCGGUUUAGUUCAGUUUUAAUUUUUAAAAAAUUUUGUUUAUUACGUUCGGAUUAGUUAAUUCAGUAUAAAAAUCAAAUCAACCAAAUCGACUUGCUACUCUAUAAUACUACACUGUUUUACACCUUUCAAACCCUAGCUAUUUAAAUAUCUUAUUCUGCCUGUGUCUCUCAUUCCAUCAUGCCACAACAAUACCACCCUCCCUCCUCCCCCU
rnacentral:misc_RNA from 1 species